ensembl:lncRNA
AGACUACAAGGUCGGGCCUGGUCGUUCCUGGAGUGGGAGACUACAAGGUCGGGCCUGGUCGUUCCUGGAGUGGGAGACUACAAGUUGCUUAAGUCUCCUGCACAGGGUGCUGUGAUUUGGAUUGUGUGUUAAAUGGGUGCCUAGACUGUUUGUGGUUACCAAAGGUCCCAUGUCACUGAUUUUAAGAGAAGUGGUGUUUACUUGUGUGAUGUCAAUAUGUAAUAUCAUAACAGCAUGGCUACCUAACCACCCCCAGCUUCCAAUAGGUUCAUCUUCUCUCCUACUCUAACUAUUUCUCUAAAUUAGAAUUUGUUCUCUGGCAACUAACGCGGUAAAAUAACUGGCUAGAUAAAUCUCACCUACUUAUCAAAACAUCUUUAAUUCAUCUGUCUAAAUUGCUCUAUUUCUCUUUACUGUUUCUGUCCAUCCCAUCAGUCACCACAACUGUCUUGUCUUGUAUUUUUCAGAUCUGACAUUGCCGACUACCGAAGGACAGACAAGGCCCAUUGCAACGGUUGGCAUGGAGCCCCACCCUCUGUCCCCAAUUCUGGCCAUCAGUGUUCUGGAUCAUGAUCUUUCAGUGUGGGCCCUGACUGCUCAGAACACUACCAAAACACUGUCCUCAAUGACAUAUGCCACUUAUCCUCCUACUAAUACCAAACAUGCAUCUCUGUAUUUAAAUAUUCCUUAACAUUACUUAGAUACUGCAUACCACAUAGUGUCCAACACCCCCCCCCCCGUCUCAGUCCUUGUGUCAGGGGACAAGGGUCAGUCGGAAUUCUGAGGUAUCCUUUUGGAUCUAAGGAAUGACCAUGCUAAUAACUGUGGUGUCCUGUUCAAUCUUAAGAGAACCUAAGUCCUUGGACUGUGUUUUAGGAUUACCUGGCUUGAUGUCUCCUAGCUGUCGCUGCUCAAAGUCCACCUGGUUGUGUUGCAGAUCUACAUAGUGAUUGUUGACCACCUGGUCACCCCUGUCUUUGUCCAACUGGCUGUGCAGCUGGUCUAGAUUCUACCUAAAGACUCAGCCCACCUGUAUUGACUGACCAGCCACUAAUCGGAACAUGCAAAAAUAUUGGCCCAAAAAGGUCAUAUAUUCUUAUAAAUAUCACCCAGCACUGCCAAAG